rnacentral:rRNA from 1 species
AGUCGAUGGGAAACAGGUUAAUAUUCCUGUACUUGGUGUUACUGCGAAGGGGGGACGGAGAAGGCUAUGUUGGCCGGGCGACGGUUGUCCCGGUUUAAGCGUGUAGGCUGGUUUUCCAGGCAAAUCCGGAAAAUCAAGGCUGAGGCGUGAUGACGAGGCACUACGGUGCUGAAGCAACAAAUGCCCUGCUUCCAGGAAAAGCCUCUAAGCAUCAGGUAACAUCAAAUCGUACCCCAAACCGA